rnacentral:lncRNA from 1 species
GUCCUGUCUGCACUGCCCGGCCUGUCCUGUCCGCACUGCCCGGCCUGUCCUGUCUGCACUGCCCGGCCUGUCCUGUCCGCACUGCCCGGCCUGUCCUGUCUGCACUGCCCGGCCUGUCCUGUCCGCACUGCCCGGCCUGUCCUGUCUGCACUGCCCGGCCUGUCCUGUCCGCACUGCCCGGCCUGUCCUGUCUGCACUGCCCGGCCUGUCCUGUCCGCACUGCCCGGCCUGUCCUGUCCGCACUGCCCGGCCUGUCCUGUCCGCACUGCCCGGCCUGUCCUGUCCGCACUGCCCGGCCUGUCCUGUCCGCACUGCCCGGCCUGUCCUGUCCGCACUGCCCGGCCUGUCCUGUCCGCACUGCCCGGCCUGUCCUGUCCGCACUGCCCGGCCUGUCCUGUCCGCACUGCCCGGCCUGUCCUGUCCGCACUGCCCGGCCUGUCCUGUCCGCACUGCCCGGCCUGUCCUGUCCGCACUGCCCGGCCUGUCCUGUCCGCACUGCCCGGCCUGUCCUGUCCGCACUGCCCGGCCUGUCCUGUCCGCACUGCCCGGCCUGUCCUGUCCGCACUGCCCGGCCUGUCCUGUCUGCACUGCCCGGGCCUGCCCUGUCCUCUGUCCGCACUGCCCGGCCUGUCCUGUCUGCACUGCCCGGCCUGUCCUGUCCGCACUGCCCGGCCUGUCCUGUCUGCACUGCCCGGCCUGUCCUGUCCGCACUGCCCGGCCUGUCCUGUCUGCACUGCCCGGCCUGUCCUGUCCGCACUGCCCGGCCUGUCCUAUCCGCACUGCCCGGCCUGUCCUAUCCGCACUGCCCGGCCUGUCCUGCCCGACCUGUCCUGCCCGCACUGCCCAGCCUGUCCUGCCUGCACUGCUCGGGCCUGUCCUGCCUGCACGCAGUGCAGACCUGGGGUUGGCAGGGUUAUUCUGUUUGGGUUUCUCUAUUUCCCCAUGUCUUCCUUUUUUCUCCUUCUUUCCUCUGUCUCCUGCAUAUCUAGGGUAACCCCUGGUGCUCAGGUUUGUAUUUGA